GGCGUGUGCAUGAUAGUGAUAAUAAGUGGUAAUAACUCAAGUUUAGACUUAUAGUGGUAAAUGUGCUUUUGGACUGCACGGACAGUGAGUCUUAUGGACAUUUUACGGCAAGUAGCUUGUAAGUUAUGUCCAACUACUGAGGAGAACUCGGUUAGCGUUCUCAACGAGGAGACAACGGAAAGCUAGUCAGCUCGACUCAGCAAGAAGAGUUUCCAACGACUUUGCCAGCGAGUAGCCUGCUCGGCCGCCCGGAGUGCAUUGUCUGGAACGACUUGUGUGGAUCCUCGGCUUUGCUUUGCCGUCUUCACCAGCCCGCCAGAACAGCGUGCACUCCUGUUUAAGGUCUCUCCGCUCCCCAGCAACGCUACAGGCCUGCAUCUCUUCCCAAGACAACUGAAUCAUAUAAUUGAAAGGAUGUGGCCAGAUGUUAACAGGGUAAACUACCCUCUGAAAAGGGCUCUCAUCCACCUUGUAGACCAGGAGGAACUCAACAUGGAGGACAACUUGCCACGGUAUUGUGUGUCCACGCUUACCUGUCAGGUGGCUCAGAUUGGACUUAACCGGAUGGUGCAGUCCUGGAAUGCACACAGGAUCCAAGGCAAGGGCAUCCCAGAUCAACUGACUCUGGGUGGAUGCCCAAAGAAAGCGCCAGCAGAUUGUCUGCCAGAGGCUGCAGGAGCUGCACACACUUACCUGCAGGAAGUGGGGUCCUCUUUGACACAAGUGUCAAUGUUUGGGAGAAAUCCAUUCUCCACAGCUGAAAACCAGACAGUAGCUGAACAUGAAUUUGCACAGCAGUACAGCGACGUUUCGGAAUUCUAUAACCACACCGUCAACUAUGAACCAACCCAUUUCCAAAAUGGAAUUAGGGAUCUUAUUGACAUUGUGAGAAGACAUGUGUAGCCUGAUCUGUCGGAUCGCAGAAGCUAUGCAGGGUCUGGCCUGGAGCUUCCUGUAUGUUAGUUGAAAAGUUUUUUUUUGAUGUUCUAAUGUUGCGUUGUUAAUGUGUUAGACGGCUUAGAUGUUCUUAGAUGUUUUGUUAACCUAAUUCGUCUCUCACUCUGUUCAAAUAAAAGUGUAAAAAAAAAACAACAUCAAAUUUGUAUAUACCCCAUACAGUUUGACUAUAAUAAUAAUAAUGACUCCUCUGUGCAACAAUUCAUGUAGUCAGUCAAUGAUCAAACUAGUAGCAUGAAUAUGAAUUACAGUCCGAGCUGGUUAGGCGAGGCAACGCAAUUUUAUUUGUAUAGCCCGUUUUUACAAACAGUUGUCUCAAAGGGCUUUACAUAGCAUGAGCAUCAUAACAACAUCCUUUUCCCUUAAACCCUCUUAUCCACUGAGUAAAAACUCCCAGGAAAACCCUUUUAACUGGGGAAAAAUUGCAGAGGGAUGGAGCUGUGGAGAAUCUGUGGAAACACGGA